UACGAAGGGGGCUAGCGUUGCUCGGAAUCACUGGGCGUAAAGCGCACGUAGGCGGGUCCUUAAGUCAGGGGUGAAAUCCCGGAGCUCAACUCCGGAACUGCCUUUGAUACUGGGGAUCUUGAGUCCGGAAGAGGUGAGUGGAACUCCGAGUGUAGAGGUGAAAUUCGUAGAUAUUCGGAAGAACACCAGUGGCGAAGGCGGCUCACUGGCCCGGUACUGAUGCUGAGGUGCGAAAGCGUGGGGAGCAAACAGG
rnacentral:rRNA from 1 species